rnacentral:rRNA from 1 species
AAUAGAUACCCGGGUAGUCCACGCCGUAAACGAUGAGUGCUAAGUGUUAGAGGGUUUCCGCCCUUUAGUACUGCAGCUAACGCAUUAAGCACUCCGCCUGGGGAGUACAGUCGCAAGACUGAAACUCAAAGGAAUUGACGGGGGCCCGCACAAGCGGUGGAGCAUGUGGUUUAAUUCGAAGCAACGCGAAGAACCUUACCAGGUCUUGACAUCCCACUGACCGGUAUAGAGAUAUACCUUUCCCUUCGGGGACAGUGGUGACAGGUGGUGCAUGGUUGUCGUCAGCUCGUGUCGUGAGAUGUUGGGUUAAGUCCCGCAACGAGCGCAACCCUUGAUCUUAGUUGCCAGCAUUUAGUUGGGCACUCUAAGGUGACUGCCGGUGACAAACCGGAGGAAGGUGGGGAUGACGUCAAAUCAUCAUGCCCCUUAUGACCUGGGCUACACACGUGCUACAAUGGAUGGUACAAAGGGCUGCAAGACUGCGAAGUCAAGCCAAUCCCAUAAAACCAUUCUCAGUUCGGAUUGCAGG